GUCUGCUCCUACCUAUUGGAGGAAUCUACAAAGAAUGAAGCUUUUGAUUCACUGACUUGGGGAAGUGAGAACUCUCCUGCUGGCCACAGCCCCUGGAAUUCUUCACCAGGUCUCGCUGGCCCAUGCCAAGGACAUGGGGGAAGCUCAGGGAGGUCUGCCUGUCUCUCUGGGAGGCAGCUCCCCCUGCACUGGAGACCCAGGCCCUUGAGCAGUGCCCCGUGAACCCAUUCUCCCAUACCUGAGCUGGAGAUGGUGGCGAAUCCCCCGGUGUCCCCGAUGAGUCCCAGGCCACAGACACAACCCCCCACUCCGACCUCUCGGCUUCAGCACGGACAACCACCGCAGAGUGGCUACACCCUGCGAGGUGGCCACCGGAUCCAGUCCAGAGCACAGGAAGAAACCGUGCAUUGUUUCCCGUCUGGCAGAGCAACGUGACUGGAGAGAGAGCACUUCCCACAGAGUGGUUUCCCGGCUUUUACAACCUUCCCCUUUGUGUGUUGACAUUCUGUUUUAUUUUAAACUUUUCAGGUGUGAGGAACUCACCCCUAUUUUGUUUUUCACUUUUAAGUGAAUGGAUAGUGUGCUAAUCACAACAGUUCCUGUUUGACAAAUACUAGAACAUCUAUGCUGCAAACAUAUUAUUUAGUCAAGGUAGCAUCUUCCUUUCCUUUCCAGAUUUUUAUUUCUUAAAAUACAGUUUAAAUCACACA